CCGGCUGUGCGUGGAGUUUCGACAUGAGCAGACAUCGCCGACUAUGAUGCACCACGACUUGAAGCACAGUUGCACACUUCACAAGCCAUCGACUCUGAAGACCAAUUGAAAUGUAACAAACCAUAAACAUCAGAUGGGGUGGAGAUAUCAAACAGAUCAAGUAUUUUUUAUCCCAGAAAGCUACUCAGAUAUCAGCUGAUUAGAGUAAACACCAAGGGCAUGAAUGAGGGCUGCAAAUGGUGGAAAUAUCUGAGGAUCUACGGGUGGUGAUAUUCUCCGUGUCGCUCAACAACUAUGACCAACUGGGAGUCUCUGCAAGAGGUGGCAGUCGGCGUCUUUAGAAUAAGAUGAUCCAAAGCAUGGACUUGUUUGAGGCCACAAUCAGGAUGGCAGUGAAAGAACUAUAAUUGAAGCAUUGAACAUGGCCACAUUGAAUUUACUGAAUAUUUAUGUUCCAAUUGCAGCGAGCAGAUCCGAUAAAAAAAGAAGCAUCUCAGAUUGACAUCCAUGAAAUUCAGACAUUUCAGGUUCAUAUAUAUUUUUAUAUAUUUGGUUUGAUACUCUAUUGUAUCCCAUA